CCUACGGGAGGCAGCAGUGGGGAAUAUUGCACAAUGGGGGAAACCCUGAUGCAGCGACGCCGCGUGAGUGAAGAAGUAUUUCUGUAUGUAAAGCUCUGUCAGCAGGGAAGAAAAUGACGGUACUUGACAAAGAAGCCCCGGCCAACUACGUGCCAGCAGCCGCGGUAAUACGCAGGGGGCAAGCGUUAUCCGGAUUUACUGGGUGUAAAGGGAGCGUAGACGGCAGGGCAAGUCUGGUGUGAAAGGCGGGGGCUCAACCCCCGGACUGCUCUGGAAACUGGCAGGCUGGAGUGCAGGAGAGGGGAGUAGAAUUCCUGGUGUAGCGGUGAAAUGCGUAGAUAUUAGGAGGAACACCAGUGGCGAAGGCGGCUUACUGGACUGUAACUGACGUUGAGGUGCGAAAGCGUGGGGAGCAAACAGGAUUAGAUACCCUUGUAGUC
rnacentral:rRNA from 1 species